rnacentral:misc_RNA from 1 species
GAUGAAGAACGUAGCGAAAUGCGAUAAGUAGUGUGAAUUGCAGAAUUCAGUGAAUCAUCGAACCUUUGAACGCACAUUGCGCCCCUUGGUAUUCCAUGGGGCAUGCCUGUUCGAGCGUCAUUUGUACCUUCAAGCUCUGCUUGGUGUUGGGUGUUUGUCUCGCCUCUGCGUGUAGACUCGCCUCAAAACAAUUGGCAGCCGGCGUAUUGAUUUCGGAGCGCAGUACAUCUCGCGCUUUGCACUCAUAACGACGACGUCCAAAAGUACAUUUUUACACUCUUGACCUCGGAUCAGGUAGGGAUACCCGCUGAACUUAAGCAUAUCAAUAAGCGGAGGA